CCUACGGGAGGCAGCAGUGGGGAAUAUUGCACAAUGGGGGAAACCCUGAUGCAGCGACGCCGCGUGAGUGAGGAAGUAUUUCGGUAUGUAAAGCUCUAGCAGCAGGGAAGAAAAUGACGGUACCUGACGAAGAAGCCACGGCUAACUACGUGCCAGCAGCCGCGGUAAGACGUAUGGGGCAAGCGUUAUCCGGAUUUACUGGGUGUAAAGGGAGCGUAGACGGCUAAUCAAGUCAGAAGUGAAAACCCAGGGCUCAACCUUGGGACUGCUUUUGAAACUGAGUAGCUAGAGUGCAGGAGAGGUAAGCGGAAUUCCUAGUGUAGCGGUGAAAUGCGUAGAUAUUAGGAGGAACACCAGUGGCGAAGGCGGCUUACUUGACUGUACCUGACGUUGAGGCUCGAAAGCGUGGGGAGCAAACAGGAUUAGAUACCCCAGUAGUC
rnacentral:rRNA from 1 species